GAUGAACGCUGGCGGCGUGCCUAAUACAUGCAAGUCGAGCGAACAGACGAGGAGCUUGCUCCUCUGACGUUAGCGGCGGACGGGUGAGUAACACGUGGAUAACCUACCUAUAAGACUGGGAUAACUUCGGGAAACCGGAGCUAAUACCGGAUAACAUGUUGAACCGCAUGGUUCAACAGUGAAAGACGGUUUUGCUGUCACGUAUAGAUGGAUCCGCGUCGCAUUAGCUAGUUGGUAAGGUAACGGCUUACCAAGGCAACGAUGCGUAGCCGACCUGAGAGGGUGAUCGCCCACACUGGAACUGAGCCACGGUCCAGACUCCUGCGGGAGGCAGCAGUAGGGAAUCUUCCGCAGAGGGCGGAAGCCUGACGGAGCAACGCCGCGUGAGUUAAGACGGUCUUCGGAUCGUAAAACUCUGUUAUUAGGGAAGAACAAAUGUGUAAGUAACUAUGCACGUCUUGACGGUACCUAAUCAGAAAGCCACGGCUAACUACGUG
rnacentral:rRNA from 1 species